GUCCAGCCGAUCGACGCGGCACGCGCGUAGAGCUUCUUCGAUGCGUCGUUUGCAAAUUGCAAGCAAGGUCGUAUUGCUUUUUCUUUCUUUCUUUCUUUCUUUCUUUCUUUCUUUCUUCUUCUUCUCCCUCUCCUCCCUGUUUUCUAGCUCUACUGGCAGCAGUGCCUAGCGCAGCAGCCGCAGCUGCUGGCGCAAUAGCUAGCAGCCGCAGCCGGCACAACAGCCAGAAACAGCUGCUGGCUGCAACACCUACUGCUGGAGAAGCAGCCAGCAGAAGCAGCGAGCAGCAGCCGCAGCAGCUAGCCGCAAUGACUGUAACGGUGGAUUUUUUCGCUAGGUAGCAAUAGGAAAAAGACGGAAGGGUUUAAUUGCGCGAGAUGGGAGCCUUUAAUUGUAAAACUGAUGCUUGCAGUUUGGAUUAAAUUGGAUGCAAUCAAAGCCUCAAUUUUGAAAUUGAGGUUCAGUUGCAGGAAAAGGGGUAGUAAAAGCUCAAUUUCCAUCUUCCACCUACUUGGGAUUUCAGGUGUUAAUUGUUUGGAAUCGAGUAAAUUUAGAAUUUGAGUUGAUUUGUAAGUAAUAUAUAGUGGAAUUUUGUUAUCUGAAAUUGUGGCUGCAAAAUUGAGCUCUUGUUGGUGUUCUACCGAGGGAGAGGAAUUUGUGGACGCUAUGACCUGAAAUUACAAGGACGGCAGGAAUUUCGUUAAGUUUCUUAACUCCAAAUCCUGAUAGGAAGCUUCUUCCGUGCUGAUUUGCGGCACUUCCUUGACUAAUUCCGGCUGGAAUUUCGAUUGACAAGAGGUGGACUUGUGGCCGGGCCCUUACCGUGGUUGGAAUAGCUAGCGAGGUGGGUUACCAGUCGUCGAAAAUGACAAAUUUUCUUCUGUCUAUUUAUAUGCAUAUGCAUAUGUAUGUGAUCAUAUGUAUUGAUAAAGGGCUUUGUUAGCAUGGAAUUGAGUGGAACAAUGGAUUUCUAUCAUGUGUGUCUGUGAGUCAUGAUUUAUGUACAAACAGUAAGUCCACUAGGAAUGACAUAUAAUCUUCUCGACAUAUUGACCUAAUGAUCAAAAGAUUUUAAAAUUUAUAAUUUUAAUAGUCGAUAUGAGGAGUUUUCUCA